AUGAAGCCUUUCGGGGUGGAUUAGUGGCGAACGGGUGAGUAACACGUGGGCAAUCUGCCCUGUACUUUGGGAUAAGCCCUGGAAACGGGGUCUAAUACCGGAUAGGACUGCGCAUCGCAUGGUGUGUGGUGGAAAGCUCCGGCGGUACAGGAUGAGCCCGCGGCCUAUCAGCUUGUUGGUGGGGUGAUGGCCUACCAAGGCGACGACGGGUAGCCGGCCUGAGAGGGCGACCGGCCACACUGGGACUGAGACACGGCCCAGACUCCUACGGGAGGCAGCAGUGGGGAAUAUUGCACAAUGGGCGCAAGCCUGAUGCAGCGACGCCGCGUGAGGGAUGACGGCCUUCGGGUUGUAAACCUCUUUCGACAGGGACGAAGGGCGACUGACGGUACCUGUAGAAGAAGCACCGGCUAACUACGUGCCAGCAGCCGCGGUAAUACGUAGGGUGCGAGCGUUGUCCGGAAUUAUUGGGCGUAAAGAGCUCGUAGGCGGUUUGUCGCGUCGGCCGUGAAAACUGGAGGCUUAACCUUCAGCUUGCGGUCGAUACGGGCAGACUUGAGUUCGGUAGGGGAGACUGGAAUUCCUGGUGUAGCGGUGAAAUGCGCAGAUAUCAGGAGGAACACCGGUGGCGAAGGCGGGUCUCUGGGCCGAUACUGACGCUGAGGAGCGAAAGCGUGGGGAGCGAACAGGAUUAGAUACCCUG
rnacentral:rRNA from 1 species